rnacentral:rRNA from 1 species
UACAGAGGUCUCAAGCGUUGUUCGGAUUCAUUGGGCGUAAAGGGUGUGUAGGUGGCGCCGUAAGUCGGGUGUGAAAUUUCGGAGCUUAACUCCGAAACUGCAUUCGAUACUGCGGUGCUUGAGGACUGGAGAGGAGACUGGAAUUCCUGGUGUAGCGGUGAAAUGCGCAGAUAUCAGGAGGAACACCGGUGGCGAAGGCGGGUCUCUGGGCAGUAACUGACGCUGAGGAGCGAAAGCGUGGGGAGCGAACAGG